rnacentral:rRNA from 1 species
AUACGUAGGGGGCGGGCGUUGUCCGGAAUGAUUGGGCGUAAAGGGCGCGUAGGCGGCCCGGUAAGUCUGGAGUGAAAGUCCUGUUUUUAAGAUGGGAAUUGCUUUGGAUACUGUCGGGCUUGAGUGCAGGAGAGGUAAGUGGAAUUCCCAGUGUAGCGGUGAAAUGCGUAGAGAUUGGGAGGAACACCAGUGGCGAAGGCGACUUACUGGACUGUAACUGACGCUGAGGCGCGAAAGUGUGGGGAGCAAACAGGAUUAGAUACCCUGGUAGUCCACACUGUAAACGAUGAAUGCUAGGUGUUGCGGGUAUCGACCCCUGCAGUGCCGGAGUAAACACAAUAAGCAUUCCGCCUGGGGAGUACGGCCGCAAGGUUGAAACUCAAAUGAAUUGACGGGG